rnacentral:tRNA from 1 species
GCGGCCGUAGCUCAACUUGGUAGAGCACCAGCCUUCCAAGCUGGGGGUUGCGGGUUCGAGUCCCGUCGGCCGCU